ensembl:lncRNA
GCGUUUACAGGAGUGCAAAUCAUUAAACACACGGGCGCUCCAGGUGUGACGGGCAGACAGCUGUGUCCAGAGACCAGCUUUGCAGGUAAAGGUCCUCAUUAAGUGGUUAUAGGCUUGAGUGAGAGUUGGACUGUAAAGGAGGCUGAGCACUGAAGAACCAAUGCUUUUGAACAGUGGUGUUGGAGAAGACUCUUGAGAGUCCCUUGGACUGCAAGGAGAUCCAACCAGUCCAUCCUAAAGGAAAUAAGUCCUGAAUAUUCGUUGGAAGGACUGAUGCUGAAGCUGAAACUCCAAUCCUUUGGCCACCUGAUGUAAAGAGCUGACUCACUGGAAAAGACCCUGAUGCUGGGAAAGAUUGAAGGCAGGAGGAGAAGGGGACGACAGAGGAUGAGAUGGUUGGACGGCAUCACCAGGUCAAUGAACAUGAGUUUGAGAUCUUGCUGAGAUGCUGGGGCCGAGCUCUGUCAGGCUUUAAUCGGAUUCAACCGCGGCAGGGGCAACAUCCUCCCUGCCUCCCUCUGUGGGCUAUUCUCGCCCUGAAAUGAAUUCAUCUCUUUGACAGGAUUCAGUCUCUCUGCCUCUCUCAGUCACUCUGUCUUUCUGUCUCUCUGUGUAUGUCUCUCUGUCUCUCCAUGUCUGUCUCUCUCUCUCUCUGCUUGAGCUAGGACAUUAUCAUCUCUUACCCUCUAGGCUUUGUCGUUGGACUGAAAAUACCACCAGCUUUCCUGGGUCUCGGGCUUGCAGACGGCAAGUGGAGUGUGUUCUCAGCCUAUUCCUAAGAUCCAUCUUGUCUGAGUGCUAAGU